rnacentral:rRNA from 1 species
UUUUGGACAAUGGGCGCAAGCCUGAUCCAGCAAUGCCGCGUGGGUGAAGAAGGCCUUCGGGUUGUAAAGCUCUUUUGUCAGGGAAGAAACGGUGAGCUCUAAUACAGUUUGCUAAUGACGGUACCUGAAGAAUAAGCACCGGCUAACUACGUGCCAGCAGCCGCGGUAGUACGUAGGGUGCAAGCGUUAAUCGGAAUUACUGGGCGUAAAGCGUGCGCAGGCGGUUAUGUAAGUCAGAUGUGAAAUCCCCGGGCUCAACCUGGGAAUGGCAUUUGAGACUGCAUGGCUAGAGUGUGUCAGAGGGGGGUAGAAUUCCACGUGUAGCAGUGAAAUGCGUAGAGAUGUGGAGGAAUACCGAUGGCGAAGGCAGCCCCCUGGGAUAACACUGACGCUCAUGCACGAAA